GCCUCUGUAGUUCAGUGGUUAGACACUGGUCUAGUAAACCAAGGGUAUAGAGUUCAAUCCUCUGCAGAGGCC
rnacentral:tRNA from 1 species